AAUAUUGGACAAUGGGCGAAAGCCUGAUCCAGCCAUGCCGCGUGUGUGAAGAAGGUCNNNGGAUUNUCAAGCACUUUAAGUUGNGAGNAAGGGCAGUAAGUUAAUACCUUGCUGUUUUGACGUUAACGACAGAAUAAGCACCGGCUAACUUCGUGCCAGCAGCCGCGGUAAUACGAAGGGUGCAAGCGUUAAUCGGAAUUACUGGGAGUAAAGAGAGAGGAGGUGGGAUGGUAAAUUUGAAAUGGAAGCCCCGGGCUGAAACUGGGGACUGGUUUCAAAAAAGGCGAGGUUGAGGUCGGUAAAGGGGAGUUGGAGUUAAUGAUUAGCGGGAAAAUGCGGAGGUAUGGGAAGGGACACCGGUAGCGAAGGGGACUAGCUGGGCCGAAAAGGGAACUGAGGUGCGGAAAGCGGGGGAGCAAACAG
rnacentral:rRNA from 1 species